rnacentral:rRNA from 1 species
AACGAACGCUGGCGGCGCGCUUAACACAUGCAAGUCGAACGAGAAGGCGUAGCAAUACGCUUGUACAGUGGCGAACGGGUGAGGAAUACAUGGGUAACCUACCCUCGAGUGGGGGAUAACCCGCCGAAGGCGGGCUAAUACCGCGUACGCUUCCGAUCUUGCGGGAUUGGAAGGAAAGCUGUCCCUUGGGGAUGGCGCUCAAGGAUGGGCUCAUGUCCUAUCAGCUUGNGGUAGGGUAACGGCCUACCAAGGCAUCGACGGGUAGCUGGUCUGAGAGGACGAUCAGCCACACUGGCACUGCGACACGGGCCAGACUCCUACGGGAGGCAGCAGUGAGGAAUAUUGCGCAAUGGGCGAAAGACC